CGUCUAGGCGGGGAAUUAAGUUAGGUGUGAAAUCCAUGGGCUCAACUCGUGAAUGGCAUCUAAAACUGGUUCUCUUGAGUUCGGGAGAGGAGAGCAGAAUUCCUAGUGUAGCGGUGAAAUGCGUAGAUAUCAGGAGGAAUACCAGUGGCGAAGGCGGCUCUCUGGCCUAGGACUGACGCUGAAGCGCGAAAGCGUGGGGAGCGAACG
rnacentral:rRNA from 1 species